rnacentral:rRNA from 1 species
GACGAACGCUGGCGGCGUGCCUGAUACAUGCAAGUAGGACGCAGUUGCGAACGGGUGAGUAACGCGUAGGUAACUACCUAUUAGAGGGGGAUAACUAUUGGAAACGAUAGCUAAUACCGCAUACUAAUAGAUGGACCUGCGUUGUAUUAGCUAGUAGGUAGGGUAAAGGCCUAACUAGGCAACGAUACAUAGCCGACCUGGGAGGGGGAUCGGCCAGACUGGGAAGUGGACACGGGCCAGACUCCGACGGGAGGCAGCAGUAGGGAAUAUUCGGCAAUGGGGGGAACCCUGACCGGGCAACGCGGGGUGAGUGAAGAAGGGUUUCGGAUCGUAAAGCUCUGUUGUUAAGGAAGCGGUACUUAACCAGAAAGGGACGGCUAACUACGGGCCAGCAGCCGCGGUAAUAC